AGGAACCGCCCCUGGUCCCCGCCUCCCUGGCCGCCGGGGCUUUGGGGUCUGGGGAGGCGUGGCUCUUGGCGGCCUGAGCCGCGGCGGGGCUGUGAGAGGUGGGGCAUCGGCCUUCUGGGGAGCGCCGCGGGCUCGUCCUGAGGCGGCCCCCGUAAGGGAGCAGGGCCGCCGUCCAGACGCGCUUGGGACUUUCGCGGCGCCUCUGCCGAGCGUAGCCACGAACCGCCGGCGACACGGAGGGCUUGGGAGAGGGGCAUCUGGUGCGGCUUGUCGGUCUCUGGGGGCACUUGCCAAACUGCACAUGGCCCCGACAACCCCGGGCCCUCUCAGGUCUCAGCCCUGAGCGGACGCCGCGGGGGGGUCCCCCGAGCCGCAUGUUUUCCACUGCGCGUUAUGUUUGGAGAGGGCCUCGCGCUGCCUGUCGCCAUGGAAACAAAACAGGGGCGGUGGCGGCGCCCGAGCUGAGGCCCGGCUGGGGCCUGAGUGGGGGAAGGGGAGGUGCGGCUCGCGGGCAGUUGCCUUCGUAACGGGAACUCCUGGUCGGUCCCCAGCUCCCCUCGGGUUCACCCCGGACAGGGCCAUCCCGCGGUAUCCAGUGUUCCCCAGUCCCAUCCUCGCUCCUGUCUUCUAGUUUAUGGCUCUAGCCUCUGGUGAUGCUUUCCCCUUUCUGAUGUCUUAGAAAGCCAUCAAGUUCUCGUCGGUGCUUCCAGAUUUCUAUUUUCCCAAGAGUGAGGGGAAAUGGAGGAAUGGGCACAUGUCAGGGACGCAACACACCGUAAUAAAAAAAUUUUUUUUUUUUUUGCUGUGCCACAUCAAUAA
rnacentral:lncRNA from 1 species